CCAAAGGCUCUUUUCAGAGCCACCCACUAUUUCCCUAAGUAACUGU
rfam:Monodelphis domestica chromosome 2, whole genome shotgun sequence.